rnacentral:rRNA from 1 species
GCAAGUCGAACGAGAAAUCCCGACUUCGGUUGGGAGAGUAAAGUGGCGCACGGGUGAGUAACGCGUGGGUAACCUGCCCUUGAAUUUGGGAUAACUUCGCGAAAGCGUAGCUAAUACCGGAUAUCGUCCUCGAGAUGUUGGUUUUGGGGAUGAAAGGUGACCUCUUCAUGAAAGUUGCCGUUCAAGGAGGGGCUCGCGUACCAUUAGCUUGUUGGUAGGGUAAUGGCCUACCAAGGCUGCGAUGGUUAGCUGGUCUGAGAGGAUGAUC